AAGAAGAAAGAGAACUGGCUCAUAUAGACUGUGAGGUGGAUAAGAAUGGUCGUACUUUGGAAUUCCAUAGCUCCACUGAUAUAUGGGAAAAGAUGAUGCUGUGCGUCAACCUACGGUGAGCGUCUACUCCAGCACCAAAUCUCAAAAAGAGAACACCUUUCUGUGCCAUGCCAGUAAUAUGUUCCCAGACUUGGUCAGAUUCCACUGGAAAGUGUUCAAAGCUGGAAAGUGGGAAAACGUGGUGAAGAAUGACCGCGAGGUGCUGGAGACCAGCUUCUCAGACAAGACAAACACCAGCAUCAUGAUUAUUGACAAGCAGAAGGCCGGUGGCAACCGAUACGCCUGCUCCUACACACACGAAGCCCUCAGGGAAGGAAAAGAGAGCAAGCCUCUGGAGAUAGAGGGAAAGAAAGGAGGACAAACUGAGCCGGUGACAAAACCUCAAGCAAAAACCUUCAAUGUCACAGUCUGCUCAACACCCAACGACACAGCUAUCUCCACGUUACACCAACUAGAUGAGUACUUUGGAGCCGCACGCAGUCUGUAUCUGGCAACAUGGGUGUACACCCUUAUGAUUUUUAAAAGCACGGUGUACUUCUGCGCCAUCUCCUACUUCAUAUGCACAAAGAACAUGAGAAGCAAGCGCUCCCUCAACCGUAGAGCUCCCUGAUACAGCGUGCUGUGGAGCUGAGUGAUGUGCUUAUUCUACAUGCCAUUCUUUGUGACGCUUGUGCCAGGUCAAACUUGGGCGCCGAUCUUUAUCUGAUUCUCCCUUUUCAGCAAAUACUAUUUUCAAAAUGUCUCAAUACAUAUCAGUAUCUAUGCACAUUAUUUCCUCUUUAUUUUCCACCUAUGUUUUUUUUUUUUUUUGUUAUGCUUGAUUACUUUGUUAUGUUUUAAGAUGCACAUAGCAUGAUUUUGUCCUGCUGUAUUUUAUUACUGUCUUAUCUAUAACUUAACAUAUACUGUGUAUUUUCCAUGGCAACUUCUAUUUCAAUUUCCCAAUCAUAGUUUUUUAGAAACAAAUUAUUCUUGUGCUAUGUACUUUUAUUACCAUAGCAAAUAAAGAUUAGGCAAUAUAAGAUUACAUUAAACUGGUUUACAAAUUAUACAAAUUAUUUAAUCACCUGGGU
ensembl:lncRNA